rnacentral:rRNA from 1 species
UACGGAGGGUGCAAGCGUUAUCCGGAUUUAUUGGGUUUAAAGGGUGCGUAGGCGUCCCUAUAAGUUACGGUUGAAAUCUCCUCGCUCAACGAGGAAACUGGCCGUAAAACUGUAGGGAUUGAGUACACUUGAAGCGGGCGGAAUGUGUCAUGUAGCGGUGAAAUGCUUAGAUAUGACACAGAACACCGAUUGCGAAGGCAGCUCGCUAAAUUGUAACUGACGCUGAGGCACGAAAGCGUGGGGAUCAAACAGG